rnacentral:lncRNA from 1 species
GGACAGUUAAUGCAGAGCAAGUAUAUCUUAGUUUCAAUUGAUGACGAUGAAGAUAUCGAAGAAAUGCUGAUAUUUUCUUUGAAAUAUUCAGAAUAUCGAUUUUUAGAAUUAUAUAUUGAAAAGGAAGAUGUACCGAGCUUUGAAUACUAUAGUCGGUUUUAACUCAAGCGGACAAUAAUGUUGGGCCUUCCUCACCUUUCGUAACUCCUAUGGUGCAAAUCGAUAGUGUUGAAGCCAUAUUUGCAGAAUAAUAUUCUACUAC